AAACCCCGAUCUGUGGAGUUACGAUCUGAGUUUUUUGUUUUUAUGUUCUUUUCCUGAUUCAUGUUGUCUUGAUGUUGGUUUAUGUUUUCAAUAGAGAUGGGGAUCGACGGAGUCGGAGAGGCCGAAAAAGUUUCCGUCAAAGACGGACUCGCCGGAGCACAAGACGAGAAAGGUAAAGGUUAAACCCUUCACUAAUUCUGAUUUUACUUGGUCGAUGAAAGUAGUUCUGUUUGAUUAGGUUGCUUGAACUAAAAUCUGGACUAUUUUGUUGUUAUGAUGAGUUUAGAAAUCUGAAGACUAUUUUGUUGUUAUGAUGAGUUUUAGAAAUCUGAACUUUUUUAAAAAUUACUCAUUUUUUUGAAAUGUUAUCAUUUAGUGUCAUCCUUGAUAAAAUUUCAGCAACUUGUUAAGUUUUGAAUCUUAUUUAGGGGUUUGCUAAGACGCUUACCGACAUGAAACGUUUCCUUGAUUAGUUAUAAUGAAUAUUCGAGGAUGAUGUUUAAGAGAGUAUAAGUGCUACCAAAUGUAUGUAUGAAUAUUGUAUGAAUGCUUUUGAAUAGGAAUGUUUGGAUUAUUACCUUUGAAUCGAAGCUUCUUUUUUUUGUCGUGUUUCAGGUUGUAGCCCCUUGCGAAUGACGACAAAGUGAAUGUCGGUAGAACCGGUGGUACUUAGUUUAGCUCGUUCUUGUAACUUGUUGUAAUAAUUUUUUCUUUAUUUUGGACUGGGACUUAGGGUGCCGAAAAUUUUCCGCCCAAAAAAAACCUCCCUCCCUCCUUGUAUUUCUCCACUUGCUUGUCCAUUUAAAUGAAGAAAAGGGGCUGCCACCUCCCCUCUCCUCCAAUGAAACUUUG
rnacentral:lncRNA from 1 species